UUAAAAAGCAGGCAAACCUUCCGAAAGGGAGGGACGCAAAGCCGUGGGUCUAAGGAUAUAUUAAUCUAAGACUGCCAGGUUACAUUU
rnacentral:ncRNA from 1 species